UACGUAGGGUGCGAGCGUUAAUCGGAAUUACUGGGCGUAAAGCGUGCGCAGGCGGUUUUGUAAGCCGGAUGUGAAAUCCCCGGGCUUAACCUGGGAAUGGCAUUCGGGACUGCAAGGCUGGAGUGCGGCAGAGGAGACUGGAAUUCCUGGUGUAGCAGUGAAAUGCGUAGAUAUCAGGAGGAAUACCGGUGGCGAAGGCGGCAUCCUGGACCGGCAUUGACGCUGAGGAGCGAAAGCCAGGGGAGCAAACGGG
rnacentral:rRNA from 1 species